UAAUAUAUAAACUUUUCAUUUAUAAAUGUGUAUAUUAUAUUAUUAUUAUUAAUACAAAUCAAAGAACAUAUUUUGAAUGGUGCUUUAUAUUUAUUAUUGAUAUAAAUAGUUUAUCAAAUGAGUAAGGAAUGGUUUCUACUCGAGGACCAAAAUUUAAAUUUUGUGAUGGUGAAAAAGUUCUUUGUUAUGAACCUGAUCCUACAAAAGCAAAAGUAUUAUAUGACUCAAAGGUACUUGAUGUUAUAGUUAAUAAAGAUCAAAGAGGACGUAAAGCUGUUGAAUAUUUAAUACAUUUCCAGGGAUGGAAUUCUUCAUGGGAUCGUUGUGUAACAGAAGAAUAUGUAUUAAAAGAUACGGAAGAAAAUCGUCAACUUCAACGAGAUUUAGCACAAAAAGCACAGUUACAAUUGGGAGCAUAUUUAUAUCGGAGAGAACGUAAGAAAAGAAGUCAUAAAUUAUCUGAACGUUUAAACGAAACUGAAAAUCAAGAACCGAGAAGAAGAGCAAGAAGUGGUGGUAGUAGAGCAACAUCAGCAACAACUGGAUCAUCAGAAGAUGGUAGUUCAGGACAGCAUGCUGAUUAUGAUACUGAAGAAGUUAUUACUGAAGAAGAUACAGAAAGUAGUUCAGAUUAUGUUGGUGAAACAAGUGAUGACGAAGAUAGUGGUGGUGGUAGUCAAUCUGGUGCCAGUAUAAAGCCAGGAAUUGAUCUUGAUAUAGGUACUACUUUAAGAAGAAUUUUGGACCAAGAUUAUGAUCUUAUAACUAAUAAAACUAAGCUAGCAGUUCUUCCUGCACAACCUACUGUUGCAAAUAUCUUAGAAUCGUGGGUUCAACACUUUACGACAACACAAUUAACAAACAUUCCUGAAAAACCGCAAAGAAACAAAGCAAAUAAUACAAUAGAAAAAACAAUUAACGAAAUAAACAUAUGUAGAGAAGUCGCUGAUGGAUUGCGUAUAUAUUUCGAUUUUACAUUACAUGAUCUUCUUUUAUAUAGACAAGAACAAGAACAAUAUUGUAAUUUAAAAUCUUCUUUUUUAUAUGGUGAACAUCCAACUCUUGUCAAAGAAGAACCAAUUGAGAAUUCAGAAGUAUUAGUUAAAGAAGAAUAUGAAGAUACUGAGUAUGCUCAUUUACCACCUUUUCAAGAACAUGAUCAAGAAAUAGAUACUUCGAAAACAAUAACAAAUUCAAAGCGAAGAUUGAGAUCAUACAGAGUGAGUUCUAUUGAUGAAAAUAGGCAAUUGAGAUCAUAUGAAGAAAUUAAACAAGAUACAGGAAAUUUAUCGAGUAUUGCAAGUACAAGUUCUCGUUGUUCUAGCCCACGUGGUGUAACAUUGAGAAUACCUGUUGUUACAUCUGCGCAAGUCAACGCUUUACUUCAACAAUCAAACAAAUGGAGAUUAAUGCCAGAAUCAUCAAAAUCAGAAGGUCCUCCAAAUCCUUCUACCUAUUAUGGUGCCAUUCAUUUAACGCGAUUAUUGUUAAAUUACCAGACUUGCUGCAGUUAACGGAUAUACCACAUAAAAAAUUGAAGGUUCUUUUAAAAUAUUUGGAUAUGUUUCUUAGUUAUUUAGAAAUGCAUAGAGAGUGGUUUGGUGAACAAUUUUAUAUGCAAAUGGAAAAUCAACUAAUUUCUCAAGCAAGUAAUUCUACAUAAAUUGCAUUCUUUCUCUAUAUCCAUUUACAGAUACAAUGUGUAUACAUCGUGUGGAUAUUACAUGAGAUUUAUAGCAAGGAUAUAUACUUGUGAAUUCGAUAUAAGUGAUGAACUUUUUUGUAUCAAUUAUGAAAAUACUUUUUUACAUGCCUUCCGUAAUGAAAUUUUCCUUAUAAAUAUUAUAUUAUACUGUUAUGUUUAUGACAUAAAAAAGACUGUGUGAAGUAAAUGUGGUAAAAGUGCAAACAAAUAAAAAGAAAUAUAAAGAUUAGAGAUAUACAUAAAACAAAAAAUUAUAUAAUUUUUUUUUAAUAAAAUAUUUU
rnacentral:misc_RNA from 1 species